GUAAUGCUUGGGGAUCUGGCUUAUGGAGGGGGAUAACGACGGGAAACUGUCGCUAAUACCGCGUAGAAUCGGGAGAUGAAAGUGUGGGACCUUCGGGCCACAUGCCAUAGGAUGAGCCCAAGUGGGAUUAGGUAGUUGGUGGGGUAAUGGCCUACCAAGCCGACGAUCUCUAGCUGGUCUGAGAGGAUGACCAGCCACACCGGGACUGAGACACGGCCCGGACUCCUACGGGAGGCAGCAGUGGGGAAUAUUGCGCAAUGGGGGCAACCCUGACGCAGCCAUGCCGCGUGAAUGAAGAAGGCCUUCGGGUUGUAAAGUUCUUUCGGUGACGAGGAAGGUUGUUGUGUGAAUAGCGCAACAAAUUGACGUUAAUCACAGAAGAAGCACCGGCUAACUCCGUGCCAGCAGCCGCGGUAAUACGGAGGGUGCGAGCGUUAAUCGGAAUAACUGGGCGUAAAGGGCACGCAGGCGGACUUUUAAGUGAGGUGUGAAAUCCCCGGGGCUUAACCUGGGAAUUGCAUUUCAGACUGGGGGUCUAGAGUACUUUAGGGAGGGGUAGAAUUCCACGUGUAGCGGUGAAAUGCGUAGAGAUGUGGAGGAAUACCGAAGGCGAAGGCAGCCCCUUGGGAAUGUACUGACGCUCAUGUGCGAAAGCGUGGGGAGCAAACAGGAUUAGAUACCCUGGUAGUCCACGCUGUAAACGGUGUCGAUUUGGGGAUUGUGCUUUGAGCUUGGUGCCCGUAGCUAACGUGAUAAAUCGACCGCCUGGGGAGUACGGCCGCAAGGUUAAAACUCAAAUGAAUUGACGGGGGCCCGCACAANCGGUGGAGCAUGUGGUUUAAUUCGAUGCAACGCGAAGAACCUUACCUACUCUUGACAUCCAUGGAAUCUUGUAGAGAUAUGAGAGUGCCUUCGGGAACCAUGAGACAGGUGCUGCAUGGCUGUCGUCAGCUCGUGUUGUGAAAUGUUGGGUUAAGUCCCGCAACGAGCGCAACCCUUAUCCUUUGUUGCCAGCGAUUAGGUCGGGAACUCAAAGGAGACUGCCGGUGAUAAACCGGAGGAAGGUGGGGAUGACGUCAAGUCAUCAUGGCCCNUACGAGUAGGGCUACACACGUGCUACAAUGGCGUAUACAGAGGGCGACGAAGCCGCGAGGUGGAGUGAAUCUCAGAAAGUACGUCUAAGUCCGGAUUGGAGUCUGCAACUCGACUCCAUGAAG
rnacentral:rRNA from 1 species